UCCCUGGUAGCUCAGCGGUAGAGCAGCCGGCUGUUAACCGGCUUGUCGUAGGUUCGAAUCCUACCCGGGGAG
rnacentral:tRNA from 1 species